rnacentral:rRNA from 1 species
GACGAACGCUGGCGGCGUGCUUAACACAUGCAAGUCGAACGGAAAGGCCCUGCUUUUGUGGGGUGCUCGAGUGGCGAACGGGUGAGUAACACGUGAGUAACCUGCCCUUGACUUUGGGAUAACUUCAGGAAACUGGGGCUAAUACCGGAUAGGAGCUCCUGCUGCAUGGUGGGGGUUGGAAAGUUUCGGCGGUUGGGGAUGGACUCGCGGCUUAUCAGCUUGUUGGUGGGGUAGUGGCUUACCAAGGCUUUGACGGGUAGCCGGCCUGAGAGGGUGACCGGCCACAUUGGGACUGAGAUACGGCCCAGACUCCUACAGGAGGCAGCAGUGGGGAAUAUUGCACAAUGGGCGGAAGCCUGAUGCAGCAACGCCGCGUGCGGGAUGACGGCCUUCGGGUUAUAAACCGCUUUCGCCUGUGACGAAGCGUGAGUGACGGUAAUGGGUAAAGAAGCACCGGCUAACUACGUG